AUCUCUCAGCUAUAACUCGCCAAAUGGGAAUGGAUAUGGAAGGAGAGAUGUUCAUCUAUGUCCAUGGAAAGACUGGCUUGCUCUCAGCGAAUUCGGCUGUGAUUUCUUUGAUUAAAUCCAGUGACAGGAGACACAGUAUUACACAUGACUGUGUCUAAUAGGCAAGAGAAGGUGACGGCUAACAUGAUGACUUUAUUAGUUUUUAAAGAGAAUAAGUUGGGAACCAAAGAAGAAUGUGUUAGUUACUUGGAUGGAUGUUACGAGAAGAGCUGGAACAUGAACAUUGUCCUUGGAGCUGAAAAUACCCACACAAAAAAACAGCUCAAUGGGAAAUGUUGAAAUGUGCAAGAAAA